AGGUUAGGUGAAGCCAGGAAAGCUGGUUUUCAUAAAGUGAAACAUUACAAACAUGAUUUCAGUCUGUUGUUACUUUAUGCCAUUGAACUUACUGAAAGGUGGAGUUGUGUCUCUAUGAGAGUUCCAGUAGUUUUUAUUAUGAACCUAUGAAGAAAUGUUCUUCCUCCUCUGUAAUACUUUUUAUGCUUAAAGAUUUUGUUAUACUCUCUCUUUCUUCUCUUUCACUCUCUCUCUGUCUCUCUCUGUCUCUCUCUCCUUGUCUCUCUCUGUCUCUCUCUGUCUCUCUCUGUCUCUCUCUCUCUUUCUCUCUCACAUUUAGAGGCGAACUUGUGCGACUCAGCUUUACUUUUAUAACCUGGGUUCACGGAUGAAUGCAGACCAGUAGUCUUGCUGGUAGGUACAUUGACUUGCUAAGACAUCUUUUCUCUUUUGAAUGUUUUCUAUUAUUAUUGUAACUAUCCUUAUUUAGAGAUCCUCAUGAUAAAUUGUGUUCUAGUAAAGCAUUAUCUUUCUAACAGAAAUUCCUCUCUCACAAGUGGAAUUAAACAUGGCAUUCCAGUAUUAAGCCACCAGCAGACUGGUGUUUGAAAAAAUGCCUGCUAAUCUGAAGAUGAUGUUUUUGUUUCUAUGUUCUCCCAUGGCAGCCAGGGCAACAGAAAGAUCUUAUAGUUUUUAAAAUAAGGGCAUAAUUCUCUUCAAGAGUUCAUUCUUAGGACCUAAAUGUGCUCUAAAGUCUACAUGCAGUACCACCACCAAGAUGUGGGUAAAAGUCCCACCCAGUGAAUUUAGAUGGGAUACUCAUGCUCACCCAUGGCACUAGUGCAAUAGGACUUCAGAUUAUUAUAUUGACAAUGUAUUAUACGAAUGGGAAGUAACUGUUCAUAUCACCUGCUAUGCGUGCACCAUUAGGAGACUUCAAGCUAUGCAUUGCGCUCAGUUUAUCACAUGCAUGGAGUAGAGUAUGCUUGCUUAAUGCUUAUGAAAUUCUAUAGUUCAAAGGUAUGUACUAAAUUAACCCACAAUCAUAUGUUUGCAUCAUUCAGGAGACCACAUUAAACAAAGAAAUACAAAAAAAUAGCAGGACAAGAGCCACACUGUAUAGAGAGAAGUAGAGAUGCAGCAGAGAGAAACAAAAGGAGAUUCCCAAGAAAACAACAGCCACGAAGGUGUCUAGGCCAGUGAUUGCUAGUAUAACUCCAAAUCUCUUUGGCACAUGAAGAGUGUUUUAUUUUGUUUUGUUUUUGCCAAAUUUCUUUUUAAAAAUUAUUUAUUUUAUUUUUAAUAUCCUAAUAUAAUUAUAAUUAUACCACUCUCUCCUUCUCUUUCCUCCCUCCAAACCGUUUCAUACACCCCACCUUGCUGUUUUUCAAAUCCAUGGCUUCUUUACACACUUUACAUAUAUGUAUAUACAUACAUAGUCCUAAUACAUAAAAUAUGUAGCCUGUUCAGUCUGCAUCAUGCUACCUGUAUAUAUGUUUCCCUCAGUGGGAUUGCCUUAGAUUCCAGUUUGGAUUCCUAAGAGCUGAAUUAGGUAUCCUUGUCUUGAAGCUCUUCUUUUCUGAACCAUCCCAGGUGAAGUUGUGUGCUCUCUCAUGAUGAAUGGCCAGUCCCAAUACAAUAUUUAAACCGAUGUCUCUGUGUAAACUAAAUGCAUUGCAAACAAAAAAUGAAAGUUGAAAUUUUGGAAAAGGACCUGGUGGAGGUGUUAAAUGAAUCUUAAUCCAUUCUAUGCAUGAAUGAUAUUGUCAAAGACC
rnacentral:lncRNA from 1 species